rnacentral:rRNA from 1 species
AUUGACCGCUGGCGGCAUGCUUAACACAUGCCAGUCGAACGAAUGGCGUACGGGUUAGUAAUGCUUUGGAAUCUUGCUUCUGGAUGGGGAUAACUACGGGAAACGGUAGCUCAUACCGCGUACUAUAGGAUGAGCCCACAUUGGAUUAGGUCGUUGGUGAGGUAAAGGCUCACCAAGCCGACGAUCUCUAGCUGGUCUGAGAGGAUGACCAGCCACACUGGGAGUGAGACACGGCCCAGACUCCUACGGGAGGCAGCAGUGGGGAAUAUUGCGCAAUGGGGGCAACCUGACGCAGCCAUGCCGCGUGAAUGAAGAAGGCCUUCGGGUUGUAAAGUUCUUUCGGUAGCGAGGCGUUAACUACAGAAGAAGCACCGGCUAACUCCGUGCCAGCCGCCGCGGUAAUAC